rnacentral:lncRNA from 1 species
UGCAUUGUUAGAAGAGGUGUUUGUAUAAGCGGUGUCCCAGGCUGAUUCCUUCAGCUCCUUGGGUGAAGCUGAUUUCCCAUGACUCAUCUGAUUUUCAGUUUUUAUUGUAUGCCUGCCAAGCAAGACUUGGGCAUAUGACAGUAAAAAGGCAAUCUCCCUACAAGUUCACAGAGGACACAGUUUAUCUGUGCACCAAGCGAUAUGCAGUAUUUGGAGGUCUGGAGAGAUUUCCUGGGGAGUAGGACAGUGCUGUACUCUCACUGCACACAGAAUUGAGAUGCAGAGGGGCACGUAAAGAAAAGCACAGAAGACCUUUCUUGACACAGCAUGACAUCCUGCUGUGGGGAUGAGUUCCUGGUCACCAACAGUGUUGAAGCCACUAGCAAGACUGUGAUGUUGAAGAUAGAGAUACUUGGCUUCUCUAAGUCUUACCAUCCUUGAGAGUCCCUGAGUCCAGGCUGGCUGACCCAGGCUGCAGCUCCCUAACCAGCCCCAUCUCCAUCCUCUUUUCUGCAGCCCAAAGCCCACAGCUACAGUUGCCCUUGUAGUUAGACGUGGUCUUGCUCCCACUUCCUGGGGAAAAACAUACACUAGAAAACUCAUCACAGGAAAAGAAAAGACUCCCCCAGGCCAAGUCAGGGAAGUUGUGAAGGUGGCCAUUGAUGCUGGAUAUUGCACAUUGACUGUGCCUAUGUGGAACAGAAUGAGAAUGAGGUGGGAGAAGCCAUUCAAGAGAAGAUCCAGGAGAAGGCUGUGAAGCAAGACCUCUUGAUUGUCAGCAAGGUUCUACCAAGGCCCACUUGGUGACUACAGGUUCAAGGCAGGUGGAAGUUUCUGGACCACUCCUAGAGCCCUAUCCAUCUUUACGUAAGUUGCCACUGAUUUGAAAGGGUCUCUUGUUUCUGGGAGCGAUAGAUGGCUCCCAUUGCAACUCCCUAAAAGCCAGACUGAAAAACUAGACUGUAAAGAGACAAAGAUGAUUUUUCGGACCCCAGACAGCUGUUAUCAGGACCUCAAAAAUGGUCACUACAAGCUAACCCUGAACUCUACCAUGAUCACUAUGAAGCUGAACAGAUUUUUCAACCUCUCAACAUCUUGACUGAAAAAUAGUAGUAACAGCAGACACCUUCUGUUUCUAGCUUACUGUAAAGAUUUUAUUACAUCACCUGACAGUAAGAUUCAAGAUGUAUAAUUCAUUGUAUAAUCACUGUUUCAUAAAAAGAAAGAGUAGA